GAAUAUUGGGCAAUGGCCGAGAGGCUGACCCAGCCAUGCCGCGUGCAGGAAGAAGGCCUUCUGGGUUGUAAACUGCUUUUAUAGAGGAAGAAAAUACCCUUGCGAGGGGAACUGACGGUACUAUAUGAAUAAGCACCGGCUAACCCCGUGCCAGCAGCCGCGGUAAUACGGAGGGUGCAAGCGUUGUCCGGAUUUAUUGGGUUUAAAGGGUGCGUAGGCGGCCCAUUAAGUCAGUGGUGAAAUCCAACAGCUCAACUGUUGAACUGCCAUUGAUACUGGUGGGCUUGAGUAAAGUCGAGGCAGGCGGAACUGGUGGUGUAGCGGUGAAAUGCAUAGAUACCACCAAGAACCCCGAUUGCGAAGGCAGCUUGCUGGGCUUUAACUGACGCUGAGGCACGAAAGCGUGGGGAGCGAACAGG
rnacentral:rRNA from 1 species